rnacentral:rRNA from 1 species
CCUACGGGAGGCAGCAGUGGGGAAUAUUGGGCAAUGGGCGCAAGCCUGACCCAGCAAUGCCGCGUGAAGGAAGAAGGCUUUCGGGUUGUAAACUUCUUUGACAGGGGAAGAGCAGAAGACGGUACCCUGAAAACAAGCCACGGCUAACUACGUGCCAGCAGCCGCGGUAAUACGUAGGUGGCAAGCGUUGUCCGGAUUUACUGGGUGGAAAGGGCGUGUAGCCGGGAAGGCAAGUCAGAUGUGAAAUCUGGAGGCUCAACCUCCAAAUUGCAUUUGAAACUGGCAGCCUUGAGUACAGUUGAGGUAGGCGGAAUUCGUGGUGUAGCGGUGAAAUGCGUAGAUAUUAGGAGGAACACCAGUGGCGAAGGCGGUCUGCUGGACAGCAACUGACGGUGAGGCGCGAAAGCGUGGGGAGCAAACAGGAUUAGAUACCCCGGUAGUC